ACGCUGGCGGCAGGCUUAACACAUGCAAGUCGAACGGUAACAGGAAUUAGCUUGCUAAUUUGCUGACGAGUGGCGGACGGGCGAGUAAUGCUUGGGAAUCUGGCUUAUGGAGGGGGAUAACUACGGGAAACUGUAGCUAAUACCGCGUAAAAUCUUCGGAUUAAAGGGUGGGACUUUCGAGCCACCUGCCAUAAGAUGAGCCCAAGUGGGAUUAGGUAGUUGGUUAGGUAAAGGCUGACCAAGCCGACGAUCUCUAGCUGGUCUGAGAGGAUGACCAGCCACACUGGAACUGAGACACGGUCCAGACUCCUACGGGAGGCAGCAGUGGGGAAUAUUGCACAAUGGGGGGAACCCUGAUGCAGCCAUGCCGCGUGAAUGAAGAAGGCCUUCGGGUUGUAAAGUUCUUUCGGUGACGAGGAAGGUUGAUAGGUUAAUAGCCUAUCAAAUUGACGUUAAUCACAGAAGAAGCACCGGCUAACUCCGUGCCAGCAGCCGCGGUAAUACGGGGGGUGCGAGCGUUAAUCGGAAUAACUGGGCGUAAAGGGCACGCAGGCGGUGACUUAAGUGAGAUGUGAAAGCCCCGAGCUUAACUUGGGAAUUGCAUUUCAUACUGGGUCGCUAGAGUACUUUAGGGAGGGGUAGAAUUCCACGUGUAGCGGUGAAAUGCGUAGAGAUGUGGAGGAAUACCGAAGGCGAAGGCAGCCCCUUGGGAAUGUACUGACGCUCAUGUGCGAAAGCGUGGGGAGCAAACAGGAUUAGAUACCCUGGUAGUCCACGCUGUAAACGAUGUCGAUUUGGGGAUUGGGCUUUGAGCUUGGUGCCCGUAGCUAACGUGAUAAAUCGACCGCCUGGGGAGUACGGCCGCAAGGUUAAAACUCAAAUGAAUUGACGGGGGCCCGCACAAGCGGUG
rnacentral:rRNA from 1 species